GGCACUGUGUGAAAAAAAAAAAGGCGUUUCCUGAACAGUUUCGUUAAAGAAGAACAUCAUGACUUUAAAUAUAAUGUUUUUUUGGAUUGUAAAUCAUUAAGCAUAUUGAUGUCCAAGUGCAUGAAAAUACCUUUCAUUUUAGAGCCCAGGGGCGUGGUGCAAAAGGACAAAAUGAAUACGAGUUCAGCUUGGAGUUUCUUUUUCCAGUAAAGCCUGAGGUGAGAAACAAGUCCACGCAGCGGCAGGUAAACAUCACAGUGAGGAAACAACAGCGAGGCUGGUGGGAAAGGCUGACUGUACAGGAGCGUAAACCGGUCUUCCUGGCACCGGAUUUUGACCGCUGGCUGGAAGAGUCAGACGCCGAGAUGGAGAUAAAGCAAAAAGUGAGAUUAAAAUAAAGGUUUUUUUUUUUUUU